rnacentral:rRNA from 1 species
UACAGAGGGUGCAAGCGUUGUUCGGAAUUAUUGGGCGUAAAGCGCGUGUAGGCGGCUUGGUAAGUCCGCUGUGAAAGUCCAGGGCUCAACCCUGGAAUGCCGGUGGAAACUGUCAAGCUUGAGUCCGGAAGAGGCGAGUGGAAUUCCGGGUGUAGCGGUGGAAUGCGUAGAGAGUCCGGAAGAACACCAGUGGCGAAGGCGGACCCGCUGGGCAGUGGCUGACGCUGAGGCGCGACAGCGUGGGGAGCAACAGG